rnacentral:rRNA from 1 species
GACAGAGGUGCCAAGCGUUAGGCGGAAUCACUGGGCUUAAAGCGUGUGUAGGCGGAAUUGUAAGUACCUUGUGAAAUCCCACGGCUCAACCGUGGAACUGCUUGGUAUACUGCUUUUCUUGAGCCACUUAGGGGCUGUCGGAACAAAUGGUGGAGCGGUGAAAUGCGUAGAUAUCAUUUGGAACGCCAAUGGUGAAAACAGCUCGCUGGGGGUGCACUGACACUGAGACACGAAAGCCAGGGGAGCGAACGGG